UAAAUCUGUUGGGCAAUUUCUUGGCACUCAGACAACAAUUCUGAGCGCUACUCUGCUGGACAGGACAAGGUUUAAAAAAAAAAAAAGAAUAUGCAGGAGCAUCGCAAACUUCAAAGUCUUCUGGAGAACUGCCUGUUCGUAAAAGCCGAGAAGUGUUCAGCAAUACGGAAAGGAACUAUGACGUGGGUGACAGAGAGCUGCUAGGGAUAAAAUUGGCCCUUGAGAAGUGGCGCCACUGGCUGGAGGGGGCCAAGCAUCCUAUCCAAGUCUGGACUGAUCACAAGAACCUUGCCUACCUACAGUCAGCCAAGAGACUAAACCCACAUCAUUCUCCCUGGUCGUCAUUUUUCUCUCGUUUCGACUUAUGUAUUUCUUUCAGACCUGGACCAAAGAAUACUAAGCCGGAUGCCCUCUCCAGACAAUUCGCCACAGACUAUUUGGUGAGGGAACCUGCGCCCAUCAUACUGCCCAGUCAGAUGGUCGGUGCACUCAGAUGGGAGAUUGAGGAGACUGUUCUAAAGGCUCAACAACAGGAGCCUGAUCCUGGUAAUGGGCCACCUAACCAUAUCUACGUCCCUCUACAGUACGAGCCCAAUUAAUCAAUUUGCUACACAUAGCAAAGUUUUCUGCUCAUCCGGGUGUUAGUAGAACUAUUGCAUUGGUUCAAAGAAGGUUUUGGUGGCCAUCAUUACAUAAAGAUGUGAAGGAAUUUGUUCAGUCUUGUGCUACUUGUGCCAGGAAUAAGUCUUGCAACCAGCCUUCUGCGGGUCUUCUCCAACCUGUAAGCAUCCCAAGUCGACCCUGGUCUCACAUAGCUUUGGAUUUUGUUACUGGUCUUCCCCUCUCCUCAGGUAUGACAACAAUUCUCACUAUUGUGGACCGUUUUUCUAAAGCAUGUCAUCUCAUCCCCCUCAGAAAACUUCCUUCAGCCCUUCAAACUUCCAAACUCCUCAAAAAACAAGUUUUUUGUCUCCAUGGAAUUCCGCAGGACAUCUUAUCAGACCAAGGCCCACAGUUCAUAUUGCAGGUUUGGAAACAGUUUUGUUUAGCUGUCGGAGCCAGGGUUUCAUUGACUUCAGGUUACCACCCACAGUCAAAUGGUCAGACUGAAAGAUUAAAUCAGCAGCUAGAAUCAACCCUACGAUGUCUCACGUCCACUAACCCUUCUGACUGGUGUGCAUAUCUAUCUUGGGUAGAGUAUGCCUUAAAUUCACACAUUUCCUCUGUUCACCUUUUGAGGCCUCACUGGGCUAUCAGCCACCCCGGUUUGCUGCCGAUGAAAAAGAUGUCACUGUGUCAUCCGUCCACCAACAUGUCCACCGCUGGAAGACCAUCUGGAACUCAACUGCCCAGAGCCUUCACCGCACUGCAGAUCAGAACAAGCGUUUCGCUGAUCGCAGACCUGCACCUGAGUAUCAGCCUGGACAAAAGGUUUGGUUAUCGGCACGUGAUGUGCCCCUUAAGUCCUUGUCAAGGAAUCUUUCGCCUCGUUUCAUUGGUCCCUAUGAGAUAGAGAUGAUAAUUAGUCCGUCUGCUGUUCGUCUUCGCCUACCUGCAAAUCUUCGUAUCCAUCCUACCUUCCAUGUCUCCCAGAUCAAACUAGUGGUCUCCAGUGAUUUGUGGAUUUCAUGGAUUAGAAAGAUCCUGCCUCCUAUCUUCGUUUGGAUUCACAUCAAGCUGGCAGCUUUCUGCUCUCUUUGUCUCCUGAACCAAGCCAUAAGCGUACCCUGUCCACCCUCCAAUGUAAGCCACCGCACAUCAAACUCCUCUUGUUCCGAGCUCACACAGAACAGCACCAAGAAAACUCUCUACGGAUAUCUCUGCAAAAGACCUGGAUCCUGAAUCUCAUUCCCCCUGGCCACCUGACCACCGUUACCCAUGAAGUUUUCGUCCUUUUCGUUCCUGAUUCCAUCAUCAAUAAAACAGUCUUUAUUUUA